CCUACGGGAGGCAGCAGUGGGGAAUAUUGGACAAUGGGGGGAACCCUGAUCCAGCCAUGCCGCGUGUGUGAAGAAGGCCCUCGGGUUGUAAAGCACUUUCAGUGAGGAAGAACGCCUGGUGGUUAAUACCCAUCAGGAAAGACAUCACUCACAGAAGAAGCACCGGCUAACUCCGUGCCAGCAGCCGCGGUAAUACGGAGGGUGCGAGCGUUAAUCGGAAUUACUGGGCGUAAAGCGCGCGUAGGUGGCUUGAUAAGCCGGUUGUGAAAGCCCCGGGCUCAACCUGGGAACGGCAUCCGGAACUGUCAAGCUAGAGUGCAGGAGAGGAAGGUAGAAUUGCCGGUGUAGCGGUGAAAUGCGUAGAGAUCGGGAGGAAUACCAGUGGCGAAGGCGGCCUUCUGGACUGACACUGACACUGAGGUGCGAAAGCGUGGGUAGCAAACAGGAUUAGAUACUCGUGUAGUC
rnacentral:rRNA from 1 species